rnacentral:lncRNA from 1 species
CUGUUUCAGUUUGAAAUUAGGAAGAAGACAUAAAACAUGAAAGCGAAAUGUGGACGAUUCAUGAGUUUGAAUAUCUAAAGAGGAAAUAACUCUUGGAAACAAAACUAGAUGUUAUUCGGUGCUUGCAAAGCAAAGGAGAUGGGACUGACAGAUGAUGCACUCAUCUUUACUGAGUGUGAUUCCUGACACCUAGCAUGGUCUUCAUUCACAAAGUACCAACAACCAACUUCGUAUUCAAAGAUGUGCCUAUAUCAAGAGAGACUGUGAUGGAGUCUUGUAACAAUUCAAGCACAAAAGCAAC